AGUGGCGGACGGGUGAGUAACGCGUGGGUAACCUGCCUCAUACAGGGGGAUAACAGUUAGAAAUGACUGCUAACACCGCAUAAUAUAGCGAAACCGCAUGAUUUUGCUAUCAAAUAUUUAUAGGUAUGAGAUGGGCCCGCGUCUGAUUAGCUAGUUGGUGGGGUAAAAGCCUACCAAGGCGACGAUCAGUAGCCGGCUUGAGAGAGUGACCGGCCACAUUGGACUGAGACACGGCCCAAACUCCUACGGGAGGCAGCAGGUGGGGAAUAUUGGACAAGUGGGGGAAACCCUGAUCCAGCCGACGCCGCGUGAGUGAAGAAGUUAUUUCGGUAUAGUAAAGCUCUAUCAGCGAGGGAAGAUAAUGACAGUACCUGACUAAGAACGCCCCGGCUAACUACGUGCCAGCCGCCGC
rnacentral:rRNA from 1 species